UAAGUUCCGACCUGCACGAAUGGCGUAACGACUUCCCCGCUGUCUCAAAUGUGGACUCAGCGAAAUUGAAUUUCCUGUCAAGAUGCAGGAUACCCGCGGUUAGACGGAAAGACCCCAUGCACCUUUACUGCAACUUAACAUUGGUACUGGGUAAAUGAUGUGUAGGAUAGGUGGGAGACAUUGAAGCGGGUUCGCCAGGAUUCGUGGAGUCACUGUUGAAAUACCACCCUUUAUUUACUUGGUAUCUAACCCUGUUAGACAGGGGACAUUGUUUGGUGGGUAGUUUGACUGGGGUGGUCGCCUCCAAAAGGAUAACGGAGGCUUCCAAAGGUUCCCUCAGUACGCUUGGUAACCGUACGAGGAGUGCAAUAGCAUAAGGGAGCUUGACUGUAAGGCCGACAAGCCGAGCAGGGUGGAAACACGGGUAUAGUGAUCCGGCGGUUUUGAAUGGAAGAGCCGUCGCUCAAAGGAUAAAAGGUACGCUGGGGAUAACAGGCUGAUGGUGCCCAAGAGUCCAUAUCGACGGCACCGUUUGGCACCUCGAUGUCGGCUCAUCUCAUCCUGGGGCUGGAGCAGGUCCCAAGGGUACGGCUGUUCGCCGUUUAAAGCGGUACGUGAGCUGGGUUUAGAACGUCGUGAGACAGUUCGGUCCCUAUCUACCGUGGGCGUUGGAAAUUUGAGAGGAUCUGCUCCUAGUACGAGAGGACCAGAGUGGA
rnacentral:rRNA from 1 species